GAUGAACGCUGGCGGCGUGCCUAAUACAUGCAAGUCGAGCGAACAGACGAGGAGCUUGCGCCUCUGACGUUAGCGGCGGACGGGUGAGUAACACGUGGAUAACCUACCUAUAAGACUGGGAUAACUUCGGGAAACCGGAGCUAAUACUGGAUAAUAUAUUGAACCGCAUGGAUCAAUAGUGAAAGACGGUUUUGCUGUCACUUAUAGAUGGAUCCGCGCCGCAUUAGCUAGUUGGUAAGGUAACGGCUUACCAAGGCAACGAUGCGUAGCCGACCUGAGAGGGUGAUCGGCCACACUGGAACUGAGACACGGUCCAGACUCCUACGGGAGGCAGCAGUAGGGAAUAUUCCGCAAUGGGCGCAAGCCUGACGGAGCAAUGCCGCGUGAGUGAUGAAGGUCUUCGGAUCGUAAAACUCUGUUGUUAGGGAAGAACAGAUGUGUAUGUAACUCUGCACGUCUUGACGGUACCUAAACAGUAAGCACCGGCUAACUACGUG
rnacentral:rRNA from 1 species